ensembl:misc_RNA 7SK 7SK RNA
GGAUGUGAGGGCGAUCUGACUGUGACGUCUGUCACCCCAUUGAUCAUUAGGGUUGAUUCAGUUGAUCUGGCUGGCUAGGCAGGUGUCUUCUUCCUCCUUCACCGCUCCCUGUGCAUCCCAAAGCUGCGUGGUCAGUUGAAGAGGAUCCUUCUUUGGUUAAGGGAAUAUGAGUAGCUGUGCCCCACUGCUAGAACCUCCAGACAAGCUCUCAAGUAGCCUUUGUAGGAGAACGUAGGGUGGUCAGGCUUCCAAGAGACACAUACAAAUGAGGCACUGCAUUGUAGCAGUCUGCCUUUCUUU